UACGUAGGUGGCAAGCGUUGUCCGGAUUUACUGGGCGUAAAGGGCGUGCAGGCGGUCUGUUAAGUUCAGGGUGAAAGCUCCCGGCUCAACUGGGAGAGGUCCUUGGAUACUGGCGGACUUGAGGGAGGCAGAGGAAAGUGGAAUUCCCGGUGUAGUGGUGAUAUGCGUAGAUAUCAUGAGGAAUACCAGAGGCGAAGGCGGCUACCUGGACAAUUGCUGACGCUCAGGCACGAAAGCGUGGGGAGCAAAAGGG
rnacentral:rRNA from 1 species